GCACGGGCCACCCCCACAAUUUGAUUGGCCACCCCAAGUGCCCCCCCUCCCACACCAUCAGUCUCGUCAGUAUUAAUUAUGUACUAGUGGUUUUGCUUUUCUUAAAAUAAAACUUCAUAUUUUACAGGGCUUUGAUUUAUUUAUAUUACAUUUUUUUAUUAGCUUAAAAUAUUAAAAUAUAAAUUUUUGUGGAGGCUCCGCCUAUGAAAAAUUGUCUAGACCCGAGGAACCACUCUACCGUGACAUGUUGUUAUCGGAGUCAAUUAGUAGGCGCACACUUAUAGUAACGAACGGUGGUGGCACCAAUAAAAAGCAAGGAAAAACAAGGAAAAACACAGAGGACGGAGAAAGGAGUUUUAUGCAGAUAGUGAAAAAGGACAACAAAGUCAUAGCCUUUAAACAUCUAAACAUGUCCUCCAAAAAGUUACAGGUUUCCUGUGCUGUUUUGCUCCAUUUUACUGAACAAAAUAAGGCUGAGGUAGCACCAUCCUUGUGGUUAGAGUGAAAGAAUGUGGGUAUUGAGACCAAAAUAAACAAUGUGCCAUUCUGGACAAACAGCUGUGGACAAUAUAUGCAGUCAGAGUAGCCUAUUUUCUCACACAGAAAACUCAAGCUCAUCAUGCUCGGAGAGUCCAUUCUGGGGGCAAAAAAUGGAUGCUUUCCAUCGAGGGCAGAGUUCUCCUCCAAUUGAGUGACCGUUGUGAUUUCACUUCUGCUCUAGCCAUGUAUGAUGCAGCCACUACAUUGGAAUUUAUCCAGAGGGUAGAGUCCAGCCCAGGAAGUCAACUAGUUCAGGUCCAGUUUUAAAAGAAUAAUAGUUCUGAAAAAAAAACCGUCUUGGAGAAAAACAAUAUUCAGGUGUUGUGAACUGGAGUGCAUUCUCCAAAACAUACAGACAACAGUUUCGGGUGCCCUACUCUUUGACCGAAUGCUUCCGCUGUGGAGAAGUAUUCAAAGACUGCCCACCUGGCUAUGUUGGGGACGGCAGGAGGGGAGUCCUAUGUGGAUUUUAUUCAGAAAAGGAGUUUGAAGGCUAUUGCUCUAAUGACUGUUUUUUAAAUGACGGAGGAGAAUUUCCAACAGAAUAAAUAUAAUUAUUUAUAAAGGAUGGAUGAAAUUUAACUAGGCAUUAAAAACAAAGUUUUGUUCUAAUAAAUUUUGUUUUAAAAAUAUGCACAUUAUUACCUAUUUUUAAUGCCUAGUUACUUUUCACCCAUGUAUUAUACAUAAUUAUAUCUACAAUGUCCGUUUAUAAAACGAAGCAACAUUGUUUUCAUUAUGUUUUUUACAUAAUAAAUAGUUUUAUGUAUCCCGUUUAUAAAAUAAGCAACAUUGUUAUCAUUGAGUUUUUGAUGUUUCUUACAUAAUAAAUAGUUU